GGAAGCAAACAUAUCCAAACUUCCUCCCUCCCACUCCUCAGAUUCCUUUAGAUUUUUAUUAGAUGAUAUCAAUAACAACAGGCCUCUCUCUCUAUCUAUCCAUCCACCUAACUAUCUCUCUUUCUGUUAUCAGUCUCAGAUUAAAACCUGUGUUCUAUUUCUCUUUUCAGAUUCCGUGAAUCUCUCUCUCAGCCCUGUAGAGAAAUAUAGUGUGUUGUCUCAGACCGGAGGAGGUCUGAGGCGUGGCAAUAUAAACCAGCAUGUCAGCCAUGUUGACUGAGCUGUCGGUCAACAUCAUGGAGGCAAUGAGUCAGGGCCGCUAAACUUAACAGGAAGAUCAGGUCAACAACAUGGAGACAAUGAGUCAGGGCCGCUAAGCUUAACAGGAAGAUCAGGUCAACAACAUGGAGGCAAUGAGUCAGGACCACUAAACUUAACAGGAAGAUCAGGUCAACAACAUGGAGGCAAUGAGUCAGUACCGCUAAACUUAACAGGAAGAUCAGGUCAACAACAUGGAGGCAAUGAGUCAGUACCGCUAAACUUAACAGGAAGAUCAGGUCAACAACAUGGAGGCAAUGAGUCAGGACCGCUAAACUUAACAGGAAGAUCAGGUCAACAACAUGGAGGCAAUGAGUC
rnacentral:lncRNA from 1 species